rnacentral:rRNA from 1 species
UACGGGGGGGGGCAAGCAUUGUUCGGAAUUACUGGGCGUAAAGGGCUCGUAGGCGGCCUGCUAAGUCGAACGUGAAAUCCCUGGGCUCAACCCAGGAACUGCGUCCGAUACUGGUUGGCUUGAAUUCGGGAGAGGGAUGCGGAAUUCCAGGUGUAGCGGUGAAAUGCGUAGAUAUCUGGAGGAACACCGGUGGCGAAGGCGGCAUCCUGGACCGAUAUUGACGCUGAGGCGCGAAAGCCAGGGGAGCAAACGGG